CUCCCACUAUAUUGAUGCGAGGUGUGCCAUAUAAGGCACAUCACCCCCUCUCCGUUUGGUCGAUGUGGGAUCUCACAAUCCACCCCCCUUAAGGGAUCCGACGUCCUCGUCGGCACACUCGCACCACACGGCAGAGUGGCUCUGAUACCAAACUGUCACACCCCGGACCGGCUCCGCCGUAGCAGGAUAUUGUCCGCUUUGGGCCUGGCUACAUUCUCACCAGCCCGCACGGUUUUGUUUCUGGGAGCUCACGAAGCAACUUCCCAGGGUGGUCACCCAUCCUGGGAUUGCUCCAGCCUCCAACUCGCUUAACUUUGGAGUUCCUACGAACCCAAAGCCAGUGAGCUCCCAAAAG
rnacentral:lncRNA from 1 species